rnacentral:rRNA from 1 species
AGCGAACGCUGGCGGCAGGCUUAACACAUGCAAGUCGAGCGCCCCGCAAGGGGAGCGGCAGACGGGAUAGUAACACGUGGGAACGUACCCUUCAGUUCGGAACAACCCAGGGAAACUUGGGCUAAUACCGAAUACGUCCGUAAGGAGAAAGAUUUAUCGCUGAAGGAUCGGCCCGCGUCUGAUUAGCUAGUUGGUGAGGUAACGGCUCACCAAGGCGACGAUCAGUAGCUGGUCUGAGAGGAUGAUCAGCAUCACUGGGACUGAGACACGGCCCAGACUCCUACGGGAGGCAGCAGUGGGGAAUAUUGGACAAUGGGCGCAAGCCUGAUCCAGCCAUGCCGCGUGGAUGAUGAAGGCCUUAGGGUUGUAAAGUCCUUUUAACGGGGAAGAUAAUGACGGUACCCGUAGAAUAAGCCCCGGCUAACUUCGUGCCAGCAGCCGCAGUAACAC